CUCGACGAUGGUCCCUCCGUUGGACCUUCCCUUGGCGAUGGGAUUUGCCGCAGUCGCACUGUGCCUCCCCUUGAGUUUUCGAGCCGUGAGGCGUCGAACCUGCAAUCGCGUCGACAAGUUCAUGGAACGCGCGAAAAACAAAACCAACCUGGCGACAAGAGUCGCCACGGCUCUCGCCGUUCUCUUGGCCGUCCUGCUAGGGGUUGGAACAGUGAUCCGCUUGCUCUGGCCGAUUCUGGCCGACCAGUUGACGGCGGGCGGCGAGCCUUUAACGCUGCUGGAGGGGAUCAGCGUCUGGCCUACCAUUUUGCUGCGGAUGGCGACGCUCCUGCUUUGUAUCUGGUUCAUCAUUCAUGGUUGGCAGCGGCUCAACAGCAACAUGAAGGAAAUCG
rnacentral:misc_RNA from 1 species